UUCAAAAUCGUCCAACAUCACGCCGCGAAGAUUAUCGCGCUUCAAAAAAAUUUUCGAGCAUAGCGCCCUUGGGGGCGGUGUUUCCGGCGCUAUAAUGGCGCGAUCUCCAUUUUGGGCGGUAUAUCAAGCCCCACUACGUUCAACCUAAUGGUCGCGUAUGCUCAAUACUAAAAACCCUAAUCUCAUAACCAUUAAAAUGAACAUGGAUGAAAGAUGAAAAAAUGAUCUGACCAAUUUAGAAGAGGGUUUAGAUUGUCGGAAAGUGGUGCCAUCAGCCUCAACUGUUGGUCGGAAUCAGGUAUGCCGACGGAGAAUUGGGCGGUUUUGCAUUAACGGCCUCUCACCACCCUGCAAAACGAACAGUUGAUCGGAAUCAGGUAUGCAAAUCUCCUACUUUACACAUUAACAUCAUCAAACAUGAAUCGAACUUCCAUCAUCAAUCAACCCCUUCUCAAAUCAAUUUCACACCCACUUUCCAAACCACCAAACCCCAAUCUUUCACCCCUACAAACAUUACCCAACUCAAAACCAAACCCACUUUACAAUCUUCUCCCCCACACCCAAAACCCCAACAAGAUUGUCAACAUCAUAUGCACAAAUCUCAAGAACAGAAAAACCACCCUUCUUGACACCCACAUGAUCCCCCAUAUAGGCACUCAAGAAAUCUCAAGGGUUCUUCUUCGAUGCCAGUCUGACCCAUUUGCAGCUCUUUCUUUCUUCAAUUGGGUCAAAAAAGAUUUAACCUUUGGCCCAACUGUUCAAGAUUAUUGUAUCAUGUUGCAUAUAUUAGCUUGGUCUCAUAAGUUUUCGGCAACAAUGAGUCUUUUAUCUGAGUUGAUUGAGGUUAAUAAAACUAAAGAUGGGAAAGUUAGUAUUUUUGAGAAUUUGGUUAUGUGUUGUAAAGAUUGUAGUUGGGAUCCGGUUGUGUUCGAUAUGCUUCUCAAGGCGUAUUUAAAAGCGGGUUUGGUUCGUGACGGGUUUGUUACGUUUAGGAAGAUGGUUAAGCUUGGUUUUGUACCGAAAAUUGUUUCGGUUAACUUUCUUUUGGAUGGGCUUUUGAAGUUGAAUCGGGUUGAUGAGUGUUGGGGGGUUUAUGAAGAGAUGGGGAGAAUCGGUGUUCGUGGUAACGCGUUUACUUUUAAUAUAUUGACUCAUGUCGUAUGCAAGAGUGAGGAUGUUGAUAAGGUGAAUACGUUUUUGGAGAAAAUGGAAGAAGAAGGAUUUGAUCCCGAUAUUGUCACGUACAACACGCUUAUAGAUAGUUAUGUGAGAAAAGGACGGUUGAAAGACGCGCAUUAUCUUUAUAAUAUCAUGUAUAUAAGACGUGUGACGCCUGAUUUAAUCACUCAUACGUCUUUAAUUAACGGGCUUUGUAAAGAAGGUAAUGUAAGGGAAGCCCAUAAGCUUUUUCAUCGCAUGGUUCAAAUCGGGGUGAACCCGGAUGCGUUUUCGUACAAUACGUUAAUAUGCGGUUACGUUAACAAAGGAAUGAUGCAAGAAGCACGCGCUUUGCUUCAUGAAAUGAUCAAAGAAAAAGUCGCCCCUAAUGGUUUCACUUGUUUAGUACUUAUAGAAGGAUAUAAAAAGGAAAACAAGUUGAUUUCAGCUGUGAAUCUUAUCGUAGAGCUUCAAAAAUUCAGAAUUUCGGUUUCGAAAGAUCUCCAAACCGAUCUUGUCAUUGCUUUGUGCCGAGUAGAUAAACCGUUUGCAGCCAAGAGUCUGUUCGAACGCAUAGUGCACGACGGGGAAGAGACAAAUUUACAAAUCUACGACGAACUGAUUGUUUCGUUUUGUAGAACAAAUUACGUAAACGAGGCUAUACAGCUAAAAGACGAGAUGUUUUUCAAGAAUGUUAAGCCGAGUUUGAUCACUUAUCGAGCAAUCAUCGAGUGUUUGUGUAGACUAAAUAGAACAACGGAGGGUGAAAUUUUUAUGAGGGAUAUGGCUGAAUUUGGCAUUCACCCCGAUGCGACAAUUUGCAGAUCGUUGGUUUCGGGUCAUUGUAAAGAGAAGAAUAUUAAUCAAGCGGAAGUGUUAUUGAUCCUAUUUGCUGAGGAGUUUCAGUUACGUUACAAUGAAUGCUAUAACGAGGUCUUCAAAGUAGUUUGUGAGGAAGGUGAUAUGAAUAAGUCGCUGGAAUUCCAGAACAGAAUGCAAAGAAUUGGGUACACUCCGAACGGUUUGAGUUUCAAGUAUGCAAUUGAUGGAUUGUUAAGAACAACGGCCCGCAUUCAGUUGGUAUAACGAACCUUUCUCCAAGACUUGAAGCAAGAGCGUUGUGCCAAAUCAUUCAACAUCAAUACAUGUGUAAAAGAUUCUUUGGCCCAUGCGGUGAGAUCGAGACACAACAUGUCGCCAACAAUUGGCUUUGUGUUAGUUCUCACUUGCAUCACCACUUUCAAUGUCUUUCCUACCAGAGGCGCGGAUCAUGAACUCAAAAACCUACAUUGUUUACUUAAGUUUACCUGAAAGCCAAGAUUUGUCUAAUCCGCACAAGAUUGAGAGCAUUCACAUUCAAUCCACUAUAUUUUCACCCUAAAUUACACUAAAAAACACUACAUUUUCUCUCUCCUUUUCAAUUAAAUAAUAUUUUUUUAUACCUUUAUCAUUAUCUUUUCUCUCUCCUCCACUCAUAACCACUUUCAAAAUAUAUUAAAAAAUUAUAGGGGGUGAACAGUGUCCCCCCAAAUAUACAGAUAAACAGUAACAUUUUCUCUCUCCUCCACUCACAACCAGUUUUUAUACUCUUCAUAUUUUAAAAACACCACACACAUGAUUUAGUUAUUUGGAUGUGAAUGCUCUCAGAAGAAUGGUAUAAUUCGUUUUUUUGUCAAAAGUAGCUUCCAAGUCAACCAAGAAAACCAAAGAUGGUGUACGCGUAUCACCACGUGAUUACAGGAUUUUCUGCAAAAAUGUCGGUAUGUAACCCCUCUGGUCACUGUAUGCCAGCAAUAUCUAAGCGGGCAUGGAUGCAGCUAGUGGAGAAGGUGUGAAUGUGAUUUCAGUUUCCUUGGUGGUUUCCCCGCCCUUUCAUGAAGAUGCUAUCGCGAUAGGUGCCUUUCGUGCCAUACUGAAAGGGAUCUUCGUAAGCUGUUCAGCAGUUCUCCAAGACUUGAAGCAAGAGCGUUGUGCCAAAUCAAUCAACAUCAAUACAUGUGUAAAAGAUUCUUUGGCCCAUGCGGUGAGAUCGAGACACAACAUGUCGCCAACAAUUGGCUUUGUGUUAGUUCUCAUUUGCAUCACCACUUUCAAUGUCUUUCCUACCAGAGGCGCGGAUCAUGAACUCAAAGCCUACAUUGUUUACUUAAGUUUACCUGAAAGCCAAGAUUUGUCUAAUCCGCACAAGAUUGAGAGCAUUCACAUUCAAUCCACUAUAUUUUCACCCUAAA